rnacentral:sRNA from 1 species
GUUGGACCCUGAAGUUAAUAAUCCCUUUCCAUCUUUCUUUGGAUCAUCCUUCUUUUCGCUUUUGUCGUCCGUCUUGCCUUUUCCUUUUGUUUCCUCUCUUUUCUUGUCCUCUUCAUACUUCUUUUCAUGCUUCUGUUUGUCGUUCUCUGAUUUCUUCGAUUCAUUCUUGUCGUCUUUCUUUUCCCUGCCCUUUUCCUCCACAGACCUCUUUUCUUUUUUCUCUCUUUUCCCGUCAUUUUUCUUGUCUCCUGGCGGUUUCUCGUCCUCCUUAUUAUCUUUAGGCUUUUUAUCCGCCUCUUUCUUUUCACCUAGCUUUUUAUCCCCUUCUCUCUUGUCUGCAGGCUUUUUGUCAGUUUUUCUUCCCUAUUUUUUCGUUUUUUAUCACCUUUUUUGUCUCCUGGCGUCUUAUCGCCCUCCUUGCCUCCAGGCUUUUUCUCUUCAGCCUUUUUGUCGUCUUUCUCCGCAUUAUUUUGUCUAUCCGUUUUCUUAUGGUCGGCCUUUUUGUCCCCACCUUCCUUAUCUCCAGAAGAAGGCUUCUUUCCUCCGCUUUGGCUUUUGUCGUUCUUCCUGUCAUCUCCGGCCACUUUUUUGUCAUCUUUUUUCUCUCCUACUUUCUUAACGUCCUUCUUCCUCUCUCCUCCCGCUUCCUUUUUCUCCUCUUUUCUCUCUGCCUUCUUAUCUCCGGCUUUUCUAUCAUCUUUCUUCUCUGCUCCAGUCGCUUCCUUGUGGUCUUUUUUAUCCCCUCCAGCUAGUUUCUUAACGUCUUUCUUCUCUGUUCCAGCACCUUUCCUAUCAUCUUUCUUUUCUGCUCCAACAGCUUUUUUCUCAUCCCUCUUCUCAUCUCCAGCGAAUUUCUUAUCGUCCUUCUUCCCACUUGCAGCUGCUGUUUUCUUCUCAUCUUUCUUCUCUCCUGUUGCCUUUUUAUCCUCCUUUUUAUCACCAGCAGCUUUCUUAUCGUCUUUCGUUUCCCCGCUGUUGGGCUUCUUAUCUUCUUUUUUCUCGCCCCUGCUUGCCCUCUUCUCAGCUUCUUUCUUCCUUUCCUCCUUCUUUUCCCCGCCAUUUCUCCUCUUGUCUUCCUUCAUGUCUUCUGAGGACGAAGUCUUCUUCUUGACGUCUUUCUUCUCCACUGCUCCAGCUUUGUCAUCUUUUUUUGAACCUAAUUCCUUGUCGUCAUCAGCUUUGUCCCUUCUUUCGUAUGAUUUCUUGCCAUCGUUGGGCUUUUUAGUCUUGUUGUCCUCGUCUUUUUUCUUCUCUCCUUCUCCUUUACCUUUCGAAGGCCUUUUGUCAUCAUUACCCUCCGCAACGUCGCCUUUUGAAGAGGUUUUUGAGCUUGAUUUCUUCUUGUCCUUACCAUUAUCUUUCUCAUCACCAUUUUUCCCCCCAGGUUCCUUUUUGUCCUUGUCUUUGUCGGCUCUUGAUUCCUUUUGUUCCUUCUUCGUUUCUCCCACUUUUUUACUCGAUUCCUUCUUGUCUUUACUGUCUGAUCUACUCCCUGAACUGCCUUUCCCUUUUUUAUCAUCUUCCUCCUCACCAUCGCCUGACCAGCUCGCGUGUAUCGCGAAAAGAAUAAUAAGAAGUAAAGUGAAAGCGAGUCCGACUCCUGGCCAGUCGAUGUGCUUAAGACCAGUGCCCUGGGUCAGGUCAUCUUCAAGAGUAGUAUUGCUUCUUUCAAUCACAGUAAUGUUGCCGAAGAUCAGGAGGCGUUGGAUACCAAUUUGUUAGGGGGGCAAUGGUUACUUGCUGAUUGCCACUUUGACUUGCUGGGGAGACUGUGGAAUCUCUGAAGUUGGGUACUGCACGUGAUGAAUAUGGGAUCCAAGACUCUUCGGACCACACAU